rnacentral:rRNA from 1 species
GGAAUUUUGGGCAAUGGGGGAAACCCUGACCCAGCAACGCCGCGUGAGGGAUGAAGGCCUUCGGGUCGUAAACCUCUGUCAGGAGGGAAGAACCAUCUCCGGUCGAACAGGCCGGGGAUCUGACGGUACCUCCAAAGGAAGCGCCGGCUCACCCCGUGCCAGCAGCCGCGGUAAUACGGAGGGCGCAAGCGUUGUUCGGAAUCACUGGGCGUAAAGCGCGUGUAGGCGGCUUGGCAAGUCGGAUGUGAAAUCCCGAGGCUCAACCUCGGAACUGCAUCCGAUACUGCCUCGCUAGAGUCCCGGAGAGGGUGGCGGAAUUCCCGGUGUAGAGGUGAAAUUCGUAGAUAUCGGGAGGAACACCAGUGGCGAAGGCGGCCACCUGGACGGUGACUGACGCUGAGACGCGAAAGCGUGGGGAGCAAAC